AUGAACGCUAGCUACAGGCUUAACACAUGCAAGUCGAGGGGCAGCAUGAACUUAGCUUGCUAAGUUUGAUGGCGACCGGCGCACGGGUGAGUAACACGUAUCCAACCUGCCGAUGACUCGGGGAUAGCCUUUCGAAAGAAAGAUUAAUACCCGAUGGCAUAGUUCUUCCGCAUGGUAGAACUAUUAAAGAAUUUCGGUCAUCGAUGGGGAUGCGUUCCAUUAGGUUGUUGGCGGGGUAACGGCCCACCAAGCCUUCGAUGGAUAGGGGUUCUGAGAGGAAGGUCCCCCACAUUGGAACUGAGACACGGUCCAAACUCCUACGGGAGGCAGCAGUGAGGAAUAUUGGUCAAUGGACGAGAGUCUGAACCAGCCAAGUAGCGUGAAGGAUGACUGCCCUAUGGGUUGUAAACUUCUUUUAUACGGGAAUAAAGUGAGGCACGUGUGCCUUUUUGUAUGUACCGUAUGAAUAAGGAUCGGCUAACUCCGUGCCAGCAGCCGCGGUAAUACGGAGGAUCCGAGCGUUAUCCGGAUUUAUUGGGUUUAAAGGGAGCGUAGGCGGACGCUUAAGUCAGUUGUGAAAGUUUGCGGCUCAACCGUAAAAUUGCAGUUGAUACUGGGUGUCUUGAGUACAGUAGAGGCAGGCGGAAUUCGUGGUGUAGCGGUGAAAUGCUUAGAUAUCACGAAGAACUCCGAUUGCGAAGGCAGCUUGCUGGACUGUAACUGACGCUGAUGCUCGAAAGUGUGGGUAUCAAACAGGAUUAGAUACCCUGGUAGUCCACACAGUAAACGAUGAAUACUCGCUGUUUGCGAUAUACAGUAAGCGGCCAAGCGAAAGCGUUAAGUAUUCCACCUGGGGAGUACGCCGGCAACGGUGAAACUCAAAGGAAUUGACGGGGGCCCGCACAAGCGGAGGAACAUGUGGUUUAAUUCGAUGAUACGCGAGGAACCUUACCCGGGCUUGAAUUGCAACUGAAUGAUGUGGAGACAUGUCAGCCGCAAGGCAGUUGUGAAGGUGCUGCAUGGUUGUCGUCAGCUCGUGUCGUGAGAUGUUGGGUUAAGUCCCGCAACGAGCGCAACCCUUGCUAUUAGUUGCUACGCAAGAGCACUCUAAUAGGACUGCCGUUGACAAAACGGAGGAAGGUGGGGACGACGUCAAAUCAUCAUGCCCCUUAUGAUUUGGGCUACACACGUGCUACAAUGGCGUAAACAAAGGGAAGCGAGCCUGCGAGGGUAAGCAAAUCUCAAAAAUAACGUCUCAGUUCGGAUUGUAGUCUGCAACUCGACUACAUGAAGCUGGAAUCGCUAGUAAUCGCGAAUCAGCAUGUCGCGGUGAAUACGUUCCCGGGCCUUGUACACACCGCCCGUCACACCAUGAGAGUUGGGGAUACCCGAAGCCUGUGAGCCAACAGUAAUGAGGCAGCAGUCGAAGGUAGAAUCAAUGAUUGGGGUG
rnacentral:rRNA from 1 species